AAAAUCACCCCCAAAUUUCCUUUUAAUCUUGAAAACCUAGCCUCCACAUUCUCUGAUCGCACCCCCAUCAGCUCGCCGCCGUCCACCAUCCCAAACAGGUUUCACUUCCAAUAUUCCUCUUUCACCACCAUUGCCAAUCUUAAUCGUUGCCCACCGAGAGGUCGCAGACCGUCCACCACACCACCACCAUGACGAGUGUCAGCCGAGUCGCACCAAGUCGCCGAACGUCCACCCUGCACCAGGCUACUGUUCAGAUGGAUCUUUUAUUGUAUUUUUUUUUUUUUUUUAAUUUUUAGAUUGCGUAUAUUGUUUAAGUUGAUACACUUUGAGACGGAUGAUCUAUUCUUUAUACUGGCUUAUAAGUGUUUCUGUUUCUGGUUGGUAGAUUGGAAUUAAUUUUAGCCAUCUGGAUGCCUUUCAGUGUUCUUUUUUUCGUUUUUUUUUAUUGAAAAGUAUAUAAUGGCCUUGGUAGUUAACAACUUCAACGAUCAUGCAUUAGUUUUUGAGCAGCUGUUUCUUCUUCUUCUUCUUCAUCAAAACAUGUCUCUGACUCAACCUCUCCUCUUCAAAGUAUAUAAUGGCCUUGAUAGUUAACAGCUUCAAUGAUCAUGCAUUAGUUUAUGGGCAUCUUUUUCUUCUUCUUCGUCAAAACAUGUCUCUGACUCAGCCUCUCCUCUUCAAUCAUCUCUUCUUCCUCGACUUUUCUGGCUCCAACUAAAAUCAAUUCCAAGUUCUUCCGUCUAUUACUACGCUGAGAAAUUGGAACAACAAUGAAAUGAAAUGAGUGACCCAUUUGUUUGUUUGAAUACAACUUUCCCACAAAUUUUUCAUUUGGGUUCCAUUUUUCUCUCCCCUUACUCACUUAUUCCAUAUGUUGUUUUUUCUCUAAAUAAAAUCAGUUUAAUUAAUAGGUUUUUCUUUUUUGUAAUGUCAUAUUGAAGAGCGCAGAACAUUUCGCUUCAAGCUAAACACAUUGAUGUUUGCAACUAUGUUGCGACGCCUGAAGAGGAGAAAAUUGGAGUGUCAGUGGUUGGUAACUUGGGUGUUGAAGAGACUCUUUCAAUGGUACUAAUUGGUGGCCUACUUGGGAACAAGAAUGUUGAUUUACUUAUCGGUUGAAUUGUUCUUAAUAUAUUCCUGGUUUUGGUGAAGCUUACAAGACAAAAGUGUCGCGCAAUUGAAAUAUAGUCAAACUUCAAGCUGGUUACCUUUUUCAGGGGUCUGUAAUGAUGUAUCAGAUAAGAUUUACAGUUUAUGCUCAAAAUCAAACUCCUAAAGAUUGAGAUGCAAAAUCAAGUUCCUGCAGUACAAUUUUUUUAUCAAAAUAUGGUGCCGGCCCAGUGAAGGAGAAACCAUUGGGAGAGGAUGGCCAGGAUUCGAUAACAUAUGCCACGAAAAAUAAACCGACAUAUUCAUCAAAGGAGAGUACUGAUACUGAUCAAAACAGCCACUUCAUCACUUUAUAUUCUUGCUGCUGUAAUGUAUGUUGUGUACAAGUUUUUAUAAUGCAAUUGAACCAUUUGUAAGGUAUGCAAUUGAACAAAUUAAUGUUGAAUGACAAUGCUACUGCUGUAGUUCAUUGAACGUAUUUUUCAUUUUAAGUUUCAUGACAAAAAAUUGAGCCAUUUGUAAUUGUCCAGCAGGUAAUCGAAGUCAUAUUAUAGUGGAAAUAAGC